CAAUCAAAACCCUAGGUUCUCCCUGCAACGAUUCUGCCGCAGUGCCGCCGCCGUCCGUGCUGUCCGCGUCCUCCUUCCCCCUGUCUCCGUCCUCCCUGGCUUCUCUCGAAUUUGGAGUAGCUCGCCGCCGUGUCGCCGUCGUCUCGCCGGUCGCCGUCCGUGUCUCCAUCGAAGAACUGAGAAGGAAAAUGGCAAUCUGAACCAGCAAAAGGAUUUUCGCAGCGUCAGCGCGUGCUCACACUUGCAGGAACAAGAAAACUAACUCUUUUUCUGCCCUCUUUCUGCACUCGUUCAUUGUAUAGUAAUUAUCAGAGGUGGAGAUUAUAGAGUUAGUGUAUGCACCAAGGCAGAGAAUAUCACUGUACCUGAUGGCUCCAACCUUUAGGGGAGUCAUCGCGGAGGAGGCAACGUCAUCGCUGGUGUUAGGGUUGCGGCGGUGGAUGAGAUGGCGACUGCUACGGUGGUGGACCAUGCUAUGGCGGUGGUGGUCGCAGUAGGUGCGGUGGAGUUCGUGGUGAUCUUUCAAUGCUGUAGUGAUGGAUACUGAGGAGGAAGCGGCGGAAGAGAGCAAAUCGCUGGAAGCGGAGAUUUCUUGAUGGUGACAUGCAUUAUGGUAUUGUGUUUGUUGCGGGGAAGAAGUAGAGACACGACAGGGAGGAGCGAGAGAUGCAUACUGGCAUUGACAACAAUGGGCAUGCAGUUUGGUGAGGCUGAGAUGAUUCGGAUGGCAAUAGACAGAACGGAAGAGAAGUCAUAGUUGCAGCACCAGAAGCGGCCGUCAACGGUCUUGGUGCGAUGAUUCUGUAUUCUCUGCUUAUAGGCGUCUUUGCCUGGUGUGGAGCUUUUGAUGCAGAAAAUCCAUAACCUCAUUGUUGUUGCCGGGAUUCUAUUUGCAAUUCCCCAAAAGAGUAUAUAUUCAUUUUCAUCAUCCUCAUAGAUCAUAUUUUUCAAUUUUUUUCUUCUCAUCAAUCUAAUAACGGAGCAUUAGUACGCGACGGCAAAAUCAAAUUGGCUACUGGAAAUUAGUGGGCACCCCGGCAAGAAGGUUCAGCUCUCGGAGUCCAAGAUCCGGCAGCUCUGCUUGAUUUUCAGAGACAUUUUCUUGCAACAGCCAAAUUUAUGGGAUCCCCAAUCUUUCAUUUAGAUUUGUGGUACUCUAACUUCUUGUAAUCCCUUACUCUACUGCUUUCUUUCUUAAUAACAAGUGAAUAUGUACACUUUUGUGCAUCCCUUACUCUACUGAUUUCUUUCUUGCAAUCCCUUUUGUUUCGGUCUUCUUCCUUUCUUUUUGAAGUCGGCAUUUGAUUGAUUUGUUAUUGCGUUUAUUUUUUAUUUUAAUUUUUUCUAAUAGUGAUUUUAUAUUCUUUUAAUUUGAGAGUGACAUUACUAUUAUAUUUUUUAAUAUGUUUUUUAACCAUAUUUUAAAAUCUUGAUUUUCAUUUCAUAUCACUUCUCUAGAAUUUUAUUUUUCCAAUACAUUUUUGACUAAGAUUUGGUAACUUUUACUGUUUAUGAUACACGGUUCGGUAUCUCCUUUUUGAGUUUUGAUAAUGAGAUUUGGUAAAUAUUUUUAUUUUAACUGUUUAUGUGGUCUCUUCAAAUCUUUAUCAUUAUCAUAACCUCAGAAAAAAGAAAAUAAUAUCACCACAAAAGCAAGGAGGUGAAGAAACCAUGAUGGCAAUCCUGAAUGUAAUAAUUGAAAGAGAAGGGAGGAAUUGGAGAAAGAAAGUGGUGGUUCAGGUUCACAUUCCUCCUUACAAAGCCUUCUCUGGCAUGGUGGUUCUGCUUAUGGUGCUUGGUUCAGUUGUGCCUCAAAUAAGGUAGCAUAGGUUCCAUUAACACUGCCGUACCCAUUCUCACAUUAGUUUAUUUUUUAUUUUGUAGUUAUUAGUUUAGUGCCUUCAUUGCUAUACCCUAUUGUGGCAUGUCUUUUGGGGUGCAUUAAAACAUGCGAAUGGAAUUGAAGGCGGAAUUGUUGUUAGAGUAAUAGCAUGCUUUCAACCCUUGCACAAUUGUCAGCCAAUGACAGCUUUGGGUGAACAAAUGUGUCAAUCUGUGGUGAUAAUGUUGGAAAGACUAUGCACGGCGAACCAUUCGCGGUAUGCGGUUUGUAUGCCUUCCAUAUGUUCAAGCCUUUCUAUGAGUAUGACAGGAAGGAUGGAACCAGUACUACCCCAGGCCAUUCACUGUAUUCACCAUUCUUUUCAUUCAUAUGUUGCAACUGUGCUAAAGAUUUUUAGCAUUAUAACAUGUUUUAAAUAUUUAAUAAAUUACUUCUAAAAAAUAGAGCGAUUAUGUUUCAAA